rnacentral:rRNA from 1 species
UACGUAGGGGCUAGCGUUGUCCGGAAUCAUUGGGCGUAAAGAGCGUGUAGGCGGCCCGGUAAGUCCGCUGUAAAAGUCAAAGGCUCAACCUUUGAAUGUCAGUGGAUACUGCCGGGCUAGAGUCCGGAAGAGGCGAGUGGAACUCCUGGUGUAGCGGUGGAAUGCGCAGAUAUCAGGAAGAACACCAACGGCGAAGGCAGCUCGCUGGGACGGUACUGACGCUGAGACGCGAAAGCGUGGGGAGCGAACAGG